AGCAGCCGCGGUAAUUCCAGCUCCAAUAGCGUAUAUUAAAGUUGUUGCAGUUAAAAAGCUCGUAGUUGAAUUUCGGGGUCAGUAGGUUGGUCGUGCCACCGGUACGUACUGGUCUCACUGAUUCCUCCUUCCUGAUGAGCUGUAAUGCCAUUAAUUUGGUGUUGCAGGGAAUCUGGACUGUUACUUUGAAAAAAUUAGAGUGUUUAAAGCAGGCUAACGCUUGAAUACAUUAGCAUGGAAUAAUGAAAUAGGACGUUCGAUCCUAUUUUGUUGGUUUCUAGGAUUGACGUAAUGAUUAAUAGGGAUAGUUGGGGGCAUUAGUAUUCAAUUGUCAGAGGUGAAAUUCUUGGAUUUAUUGAAGACUAACUACUGCGAAAGCAUUUGCCAAGGAUGUUUUCAUUAAUCAAGAACGAAAGUUAGGGGAUCGAAGACGAUCAGAUACCGUCGUAGUCUUAACCAUAAACUAUGCCGACUAGGGAUCGGAUGAUGUUAAUUUUUUAA
rnacentral:rRNA from 1 species